rnacentral:rRNA from 1 species
AUUGAACGCUGGCGGCAGGCCUAACACAUGCCAGUCGAACGGUAACAGGAAGAAGCUUGCUUCUUUGCUGACGAGUGGCGGACGGGUGAGUAAUGUCUGGGAAACUGCCUGAUGGAGGGGGAUAACUACUGGAAACGGUAGCUAAUACCGCAUGACGUCGCAAGACCAAAGAGGGGGACCUUCGGGCCUCUUGCCAUCGGAUGUGCCCAGAUGGGAUUAGCUAGUAGGUGGGGUAACGGCUCACCUAGGCGACGAUCCCUCGCUGGUCUGAGAGGAUGACCAGCCACACUGGAACUGAGACACGGUCCAGACUCCUACGGGAGGCAGCAGUGGGGAAUAUUGCACAAUGGGCGCAAGCCUGAUGCAGCCAUGCCGCGUGUAUGAAGAAGGCCUUCGGGUUGUAAAGUACUUUCAGCGGGGAGGAAGGGAGUAAAGUUAAUACCUUUGCUCAUUGACGUUACCCGCAGAAGAAGCACCGGCUAACUCCGUG